AUUGAACGCUGGCGGCAUGCUUUACACAUGCAAGUCGAACGGCAGCGCGGGCUUCGGCCUGGCGGCGAGUGGCGAACGGGUGAGUAAUGCAUCGGAACGUGCCCAGUAGUGGGGGAUAGCCCGGCGAAAGCCGGAUUAAUACCGCAUACGGCCUGAGGGUGAAAGCGGGGGACCGAAAGGCCUCGCGCUAUUGGAGCGGCCGAUGUCGGAUUAGCUAGUUGGUGGGGUAAAGGCUUACCAAGGCGACGAUCCGUAGCUGGUCUGAGAGGACGACCAGCCACACUGGGACUGAGACACGGCCCAGACUCCUACGGGAGGCAGCAGUGGGGAAUUUUGGGCAAUGGGGGCAACCCUGAUCCAGCCAUGCCGCGUGCGGGAAGAAGGCCUUCGGGUUGUAAACCGCUUUUGUUCGGGAAGAAAUCCUCUGGGCUAAUACCCCGGGGGGAUGACGGUACCGGAAGAAUAAGCACCGGCUAACUACGUG
rnacentral:rRNA from 1 species